rnacentral:rRNA from 1 species
UACGGAGGAUGCAAGCGUUAUCCGGAAUGAUUGGGCGUAAAGAGCGCGUAGGCGGCCCGAUAAGUCCGCUGUGAAAGUCAAGGGCUCAACCCUUGAAUGCCGGUGGAUACUGUCGGGCUAGAGUCCGGAAGAGGCGAGUGGAAUUCCUGGUGUAGCGGUGAAAUGCGCAGAUAUCAGGAAGAACACCCGUGGCGAAAGCGGCUCUCUGGAACGGUACUGACGCUGAGGUGCGAAAGCGUGGGGAGCAAACAGG